GGGGCUGUGGCGCAGUUGGUAGCGCGCCUCGUUCGCAACGAGGAGGCCACGGGUUCGAAUCCCGUCAGCUCCACCA
rnacentral:tRNA from 1 species